UACGUAGGGCGCAAGCGUUAUCCGGAAUUAUUGGGCGUAAAGAGCUCGUAGGCGGUGUGUCGCGUCGGCCGUGAAAACUUGCAGCUUAACUGUGGGCGUGCGGUCGAUACGGGCAGACUGGAGUACUGCAGGGGAGACUGGAAUUCCUGGUGUAGCGGUGGAAUGCGCAGAUAUCAGGAGGAACACCGGUGGCGAAGGCGGGUCUCUGGGCAGUAACUGACGCUGAGGAGCGAAAGCGUGGGGAGCGAACAGG
rnacentral:rRNA from 1 species